GCAAACUUGGUCAUUUAGAGGAAGUAAAAGUCGUAACAAGGUUUCCGUAGGUGAACCUGCGGAAGGAUCAUUACAAGAAAACCGUCUUCGGAUGGAUUUCCACACCAUUGUGUACCAAACUUUUGUUGCUUUGGCGGGUUGGUCUGCCUACCCGGCAGACCCCCUUCGGGGAGUCGCCCGCCAGAGGACCUUCAAAACCAGUUCGUUGAUGAACGUCUGAUUAAACUUUUUAAAAGAAAUACAACUUUCAACAAUGGAUCUCUUGGCUCUGGCAUCGAUGAAGAACGCAGC
rnacentral:misc_RNA from 1 species